rnacentral:rRNA from 1 species
ACUCCUAUGGGAGGCAGCAGUGGGGAAUAUUGGACAAUGGGCGAAAGCCUGAUCCAGCCAUGCCGCGUGAGUGAUGAAGGUCUUCGGAUCGUAAAGCUCUGUGGGAAGGGACGAAAAAGCCUAACCUAAUACGUUAGGUCUUGACGGUACCUCCUUAGCAAGCACCGGCUAACUCCGUGCCAGCAGCCGCGGUAAU